GGACAGAGAGGGGCCCAAGGCCAGCAGAGUGACCUGAGAUGACAGAACACAGGGCUUACGGAGCUGCCAGACAUUGAUACAAUUUAGGAGAGACACCCCCAUCCCUUUCUGGCUCCUGAAGAAAUGCAGGAAGAGAAAGAGGGUACUUGGAGCACGUCCACUUUCCGGGAGCCACGUAUCCUAAACCAGGACUUCAGUUGUAGUGGAUACAAGUCUGGAAUGCAGAGCCAGACAGACCUGAGUUCAAGUCUCAACUCCAACCUGGUCUGGAGCAUGUGACAAAAGCCCUCGGAGCAUCAGUUUCCAAACCUGCGACGGAGGGUGACACGGCAUCUCACAGGGCUCCGGUGGAAGGGCAGUGAGGAAACUGCUGUAAAGUUGUGGCAGAUGUUCUUCUGUAUCUGCCAAGAGCCAUUGCCCUCCCCUCCCUUCUUAUAGCAGAGACCACUCCCCAUACAGAUGCUGCGGUUCCAAAGUUUCUUCAAUCACAGAAGGAGAAGCUGGGGAUGGGGCUGGGGAGACUGCUUUUCUGCCCCCGGCUCCUUGGGUGUGUGGAACUGGCUUGGUCCCCCUUAAUCCUGAGGGGUUCCCCUUAUGCUGACCAAGGCAGAGCAGAAAGAUGAAAGAGCCCGUGUCCAGGAAGACAUCACAGAUGCUGGACGUGGCCACCCAUGGAACUCUCAUCGUGGGAGCUAAAAAACCCCAGAAGACUGAGGCCAUGAAGCUGCCGCAUCAGCAGAGUAGUGUUAAGCGGCAUCUUUCUCCAUGAAGAUGUUUGAAAGCAUCUCUCCUCUGACUCCGGGCGAACAGGAUGGCUCCGUCAUCUACCUGUAGAUCAUUCCUCCCGAUCAGUUCUGAAUAAGAAGUGUCCUCCCAGCUUCCUUCCCAGAACUGUGGAUCAUCAAUAAACCCAUCUAUUAAAAAAAAAUCCCUCUGACACUAAAUCCCCCAGCAUUCCUGUUCACACUCUCUCCCUCUCUCCCCAUAAAACAAACUUCUCAAUGCUUUAGCCAGCCUUGGUGGAGCCCAAUUCCCACCCUUCACUUCUUGGCGAGGAGAGCUCUGACUGCUCUGUCUACAACUAGGCAGAGACACAGUUUUCCCAAACUCACCAGUGUCCUCCUAAAGAAAUC
rnacentral:lncRNA from 1 species